GACGGAGGGUGCAAGCGUUGUUCGGAAUUACUGGGCGUAAAGCGUACGUAGGCGGCGGGUUAAGUCGAAUGUUAAAGCCAGAGGCUCAACCUCUGAGAUGCAUUCGAUACUGGCCUGCUAGAGGGUGAUAGAGGAAAGCGGAAUUCCCAGUGUAGCGGUGAAAUGCGUAGAUAUUGGGAGGAACAUCAGUAGCGAAGGCGGCUUUCUGGGUCACACCUGACGCUGAGGUACGAAAGCGUGGGGAGCAAACGGGAUUAGAAACCCCAGUAGUCC
rnacentral:rRNA from 1 species